UACGGAGGUGGCAAGCGUUGUUCGGAAUCACUGGGCGUAAAGGGCGCGUAGGCGGCCUGCUAAGUCGAACGUGAAAUCCCUGGGCUCAACCCAGGAACUGCGUCCGAUACUGGUUGGCUUGAAUCCGGGAGAGGGACGUGGAAUUCCAGGUGUAGCGGUGGAAUGCGUAGAUAUCUGGAGGAACACCGGUGGCGAAGGCGACGUCCUGGACCGGCAUUGACGCUGAGGCGCGAAAGCCAGGGGAGCAAACGGG
rnacentral:rRNA from 1 species